ACUGUUUGUUUGUCUCAGGUUGGUUUCAUUCAUAAAAUCAAAUCCAUGGAGCCUGGCAACAUUUUAAAAUGUGAAGCACGUGCAGCGUCUCGCUAUUUGCUAUGGAAGUUGAUAGCAUCUCGAGGAAAAAACGGGCAAGAAAUGAGGAAUCAUAAAUGAAACAGAAUUUGAGAUACAAAUUAAGAGAAACACACGAAAAAGUGGCCACAAAAGGUGAUAUUCAGAGCGCGUGCUGGGACAAGAUUGGAAUCAUCUGCAGCCUAUCGUUGGCCCAGCUCUCGCCCAGACUUUUUAAUUGUCGCGCACUCAAAUUGUUCGAAAGGGUGUGAGAGAACUCAGGAGUUGCCUGUUGAUGGCUUCAUUCAUAAGAAACGCCUUUUCGGGCAGUGGCAGCGGAAACCGUAUAUUGAGGAAAUCUCUAUCAAUAGACGCUAUCUAAGAAGAAUUCCUCAGAAAACGGAUAUUCGAAAAGAAGGAACAAAACUACUCAGAAUGAAAGGCUUUCUAACUUCUAUUAGGACC